rnacentral:rRNA from 1 species
AUUGAACGCUGGCGGCAGGCCUAACACAUGCAAGUCGAGCGGAUGAAGGGAGCUUGCUCCUGGAUUCAGCGGCGGACGGGUGAGUAAUGCCUAGGAAUCUGCCUGGUCGUGGGGGAUAACGUCCGGAAACGGGCGCUAAUACCGCAUACGUCCUGAUGGAGAAAGGGGGGGAUCUUCGGACCUCACGCUAUCAGAUGAGCCUAGGUCGGAUUAGCUAGUUGGUGGGGUAAAGGCCUACCAAGGCGACGAUCCGUAACUGGUCUGAGAGGAUGAUCAGUCACACUGGAACUGAGACACGGUCCAGACUCCUACGGGAGGCAGCAGUGGGGAAUAUUGGACAAUGGGCGAAAGCCUGAUCCAGCCAUGCCGCGUGUGUGAAGAAGGUCUUCGGAUUGUAAAGCACUUUAAGUUGGGAGGAAGGGCAGUAAGUUAAUACCUUGCUGUUUUGACGUUACCAACAGAAUAAGCACCGGCUAACUUCGUG